CGGCGCCCCGGCUCACGGCGGGCGGCGGCCGCGGGGCCCGGCGGCCAGCGGGGAUCGGCGCCUCCGUGCGCUGCAGCAGAGCCCGCCGCCGUCAGGCCCUGGCGCGGAAAUGCUAACAAUGCGGAGAGUAACAGCAGCGGCUGAAAAUCUGCCAAGCCCGACCUUUCCAGAUCCUGCCUUCAGAGUGACUGUCUGGGCUGAGAUGCGGGCAGGUUUCUUUGCUGGAUCUCCGGCCGGAGAUUCCUAGAUGCCCUGGAGGGGCGAUAGGAACGGCCCCUUUCACAUCGCCUCUGCGCCCUGCAGUCCCUUGGCCUUGACCAAUCUGCUCCGCAAAAUAUUGUUACAACGAACCAUUAGCUAAAACAACUUUAGAUUAAAAUAGCUGUAAGGGAGCCAGUGCGAUUGAACAGAUAACUGGUGACCUUAGGACCGAGGAGGUGUGGCAUCUAUUCACAGCUUUGUUUCUGAUCUGAGUGGUUAGUGGGAAGUGAAUCUCUUUGCUAAUCCCUGUUGAAGCUUUUGCAUUUCUAACAGGGAGUUAAUGAUAAUUUUUUUUUUCUUUUAACGCAUAUUAAUAACCACAGACUGGGGUACAUUUACUGUGUGUCAUUUUAUUAGUCUGAUUAGUCGUUUUAGUGCCCAUUACUGAAUUUGGAUAAUGAGGGAAAAGGAGUUCUCUGUUGUUUAUGCAUCACGAUUCAUGUGACUUCAUGACUUUGAAGUGGACUGUACUGGCUGGUUUCUUGCUAUCUAAUUUUCAGUGAUAAAGCCUGGUAUGCCCCAGAUUUUCUUGAUCAUAUGUUUAUUGUAGUCAAACAGCAUUCUGACAUAAGUUUUCUCCUUAGAGGUCCCUUAGGAAGUGAGAAUCAUCCUGUGUUCACACCAGGAAUAAGUUCUGCUGGAUGCAUAUUCGUCCAGUGUUACAAGAAAGGUCACAGGACUGUUUUGCAAACAUGUAACUGCUAUUAAGUGUAGGCAAAAUACCUGCCUGUCUUGAAACCUGAGACAUACAACAGGAAGUUGGAUACAGCCACUUCUAGGGGAGGGAUGUGACUGAACAGCAGAGGCAAAGACAGCAGUAGUUACCAGAAGAGUUUUAAUUAGCCAACAUAUAUGUAGUGUUUGAAAUAUGAAAACAAUUAACAAUUUAAGUAGAGUUAUUAUUAUCAGCAACACCUCUCUUCCUGAGAAGCCAUCUCUGCAAAGUGCUUUUGCAAGUCAGAGCAGUCCCAUGGUGUGUGAGCACUUUCAAAGAAUGACAUAAGGGAUAAAAAUCCUGCUGAAAACAUCUGGUGCUGGAUUUUAUUAGGUUUCUUGAGCAAGGAAACGACUAUGUAUGUAUUUUACACAUGCAAACCUCCAGGUCUUGUGUCCCUGAUUGCUGCUAGCUUUCGAACAUCAUCAGCUUGCCUGACUUUUUAGUUCCAUGGUGCCAGCCCAACCCCUGUGCUUUCCUCUCUAGCAGACACAGCUGGACUGCACCAUGUUUGUCAGCAACUUGGGCUGCAGCUUCAGGUACUUGUUCUUCUCUAAAAAGGCUUUGUUCUGCUGCAGAAUUGCCCUGGCCCACUCCUGCAAAGGGCAAAGGCACACCUGCCACACAGACUGCUGGGAAGAGGAGCUGCUUUAAUUUUCCCACUUGCAUUCCCAGAAGAAAAAUUUCACCUCCUUCAAGCCAGCCUGGGGGGGUUGCAGUCUAAGCUGAGCCUUGAAGCCUGCUGCCUCAUCAGGACAUUUCUGUUUGGUACCAUCUCUGUUAUCUUAAGUUUCUUCCCUGGCCAAGAAAAUAAUGGUGAAAAUCUGCAUCUCUGGUUCAGGGUGUCCAAGGCAUGUUAGCCUGUGUGGAGACACUUUGCCUGUCUGGAAGUGAGGGAGAUGCUGAUCUCUGAGUAGGUUUUGGAGAUACUAUUGCAAUGCAAAAAAUAAUCACCAAUAAUUCUCUUAUGGGUCAGCAGUUUCCAUUUCAGGGAGAAGAGAACAGUGAUCAGAGUUUAAAUACAUGGUUUGAAAAAAUGACAGAGCUCAUUAUCCCUCUGCCUGACCCCAUGGCUGUAUGUGCCUUCCCUCUUGCUUUCCCAGCUAGAUUGUAUCCGUUUGCUCUUCUGCCUCCAUCAUAAGCUUCAUCUUUCAUUUCUCAGUUAUGUGUUUUUCCUGUGUUUGCAUAUAAGCAUGUCUUGUUAAGGAUCUUAGAGAUAAUCUGCAAACCUGAUUAAGUCUCAACAAAUAGUCCUAGCAGCUGACUUGCUUUAUCACCUGAGGUCUGAAAAUGCGCAAUGUGUGGAAGUCUCCUGCUACCAACGCUUCGUAGGUUUCUCUGUAUAUGUAACCUCCAGUCAAAAGCCCUAGAAUUAAAUAAUAACCUUUCUGUUGCUACCCAUGGCUUUAGAAAUAGCCUCUAGCUGUGAUGCAGUGACAAAUACCACGUAAAGAAUGCUAGUAAAUAGGCAUGAAGUGUGUUCUACCAUAUUAGAUAACAUGACCACAUUCAUCCUCUGCUAAUACUGCCAAUUCACAGCUUUGCUAAUGCAGCCUCCCUCUCACUUUUGCUUUGGGCAAUUUAAGAGGCUUUUUGGUUACACUUCACCCUUAUUUUCUUCCUUUUCACCCUUUUUUUUGUUUGUUUGUUUAUUCAUUACUAUAAAAAUCGUGGUCUGCAGCAGAGGCUGGGCAGGACCUCCUGUCCCCCAGCUUUCCUAAUAUUUAGUUCACUAAGAAGCCAAGCUGGUCUGGAAACCAAUUGGAGAGAGAGGUCAAUAGACAUGGCUUUAGUGAAAAGCAGAUAGAUACCCAAGUCCUUCCUUCUCUCUGAGGCCAAUGCUGCACUCUCUGAACCUUCUGCCCUUCCCUUUAUACUGCCAGUUUAUCCACAGCUUAUGCUCACCAUCCUUUGUCACUGGCAGAAUUGCCUCUGUUCUGCUCCCUUGGUGGUGGCAUCUCAGGGCUCAGUUGACAGUUCAGCUCCCUGAGGCUCUUCUGUUCAUUAGUCUAACUCAGGCCUGUCACCAUUGCAGUUUUGCAGCAUUAUCAUGAUGGUAGGUGGCAGAAUACCUUCUGCUUUUUACAGAUACAGCUAACCACCUGGCUGUGAGUGCAGUUCCAGCAGUAGGUGCCCUCUCCCAGUUUACUAAUCUGCAUGUUUUGCCAGCCUGAUCUAGGUGGGCAUGAGUCAGCUCUGAUCCAGAAGCCAUCUGGCCAUGCACUGCUGUUCUGAGCUCAUCAGGCUGCUCUCCCAGGUUUCUUCAUUCAGGCAGAACAUUUACAGCUCUUUGGCAGUUCAGCCUUGCACCAACCAGGCAGUAGAUGGGCAAGUGUCCAUUUGCAUCCUUUGCAACAAGCCUUGUCUGCAUUUCCUUAAGUCCCUCCCUGAGGGAGAACGAGCUGUAAAGCUGUGAGUACUUUACUGACAGAGUCCAGUCCUGGGAGGGUGUGCUGUGGUGCCUGUGUCAGGACAGGUAACACUUGGCCUGAGCUGGUGUUACUCUAGCCACCUGUGCUCAUGAAAUGGAGCCUGUUUAGCCACUCACCCGCAGCAGGCUCAGCAGCAGAGACUGCAGCAGCUCACUGGUUUCAUCCUUGCUGACAUGAUGAUCCCCAACUUCCGCUCCUUGCAGGUAAGUUGCCUUAGCUGUUUGGCAUCACCCAGCUUUCUCUUGCCAAGUAGCGCAGUGUGAAGGCAACGCAGGUGAUGCACAUGCUGCUGGCACAGAUCCUCUUAUUCUCUCCCUCCAGUAGCGGUCUGUGAGUCCUGAAUGCUCUGCCUACCUAACUUUUAUCUUUAGCUCUUGGGCACUAGAAAUCCCUGAAGAGAUUCAGGCACAGCAUCAGGGAGGGCUGGAAUGAGACAGCCUUGUUUCCUAACCUACCACAGCAAAUAUCUAAGUUUUCCUUUGGAGGGAGGGCAUUCCCAAAAUGGACUGUCCAGCUUGUAUAUACUGUGGCUCUGCCCUCACCAGGGGGAAGAUUAAUUCUUGGUGCUCUCUUACCACUUACAAGUGAUAAUUACUGGAAGGUGUAAAACUGAUUAAGAGGCAAAUUGUAACCUCAGAGUGUGGAUUUCCCUGACUUCCUCUUUUUGACCUGCUAACAUACAAAGUGGCAGAUAGCUUUGUUGUUGCUUAGAUUUUAUCCCACUAUCUAACCCAGGAAUGUUUUUUACUGCACAGGGCUGAGGCCUGUGGUAAUGUAAAGUGAGUGGCCUGUAGGCCAGGGGCCAGCUCUCCCAGGCCUCUCUGGAACACCCUGCACCUCCAUCCAUGGCCUCAUCUCUUCUGCAACAGUUCAAGCCAGACACAAUGUUCUCAGACUGCAGGUAUGAGACGGGGCAGCCACAGUCAAGCUCUUCAGUCCAUCUCAGUCUCUCCAGCGAGGGUUGGGCUCUUGCAUUGACACCACAGAGCACUCCUUCCUCUGGUGUUGCUCUGUUAUGCACCCCAUGGAUCUCUGUAUCCCUGUGUUUACUCGGAUUAAGAGGGUUCUGUGCCUUGCUGCCCAUACUCUUCUGCUUAGUUUUGGCAUGGCUGGAUAGAUCAUUCCAAAUGACCGUGCUGCACCAGGCAAGCACCGAAAGGCUGUGAUGUUGACAGCGGGGCCUCUGCAGACUCAGCACAUAAAAUGGGUCACUACUGCAGUUCUUCCAGUUACGCAACUCCAGUGUGAAGGCUUUUCUUUUCCUUUGCCCUUCAAGUCACUUGAAUAUAAAGUCACUUUAAAUAUAAACAAGUAAAACUAAGACAAGAAGGUAACCAAAUCAGGAUGAGGAACCGGGAGGGGAAAGGAAAGCGUCCCACAGUACUGGUCUGGAGACUUGCAUCCUCCAGCUCCAGGGGCUGGUUCCCCAGAGCUCUGCUCCAGGAGCUGCUGCAGAAAUAAAGACCCAUUGAGCAGUCUGACUCCAAAUUAGCAUUUGAAUUCCCUUGGAGUCUGUUGUCAGAUGGGCAGGAGGUGGGUGCUAGUCUCAGACUCUGAGUACUGAUAAACAAAGGUGGCUUUAAAAGUCCUUUUUUUUUCCUCAGGGAAAUAAAUGCAUUGCACAAACUA